rnacentral:rRNA from 1 species
GACGAACGCUGGCGGCGUGCCUAAUACAUGCAAGUAGAACGCUGAAGGAGGAGCUUGCUUCUCUGGAUGAGUUGCGAACGGGUGAGUAACGCGUAGGUAACCUGCCUGGUAGCGGGGGAUAACUAUUGGAAACGAUAGCUAAUACCGCAUAAUAGUAGAUGUUGCAUGACAUUUACUUAAAAGGUGCAAUUGCAUCACUACCAGAUGGACCUGCGUUGUAUUAGCUAGUUGGUGGGGUAACGGCUCACCAAGGCGACGAUACAUAGCCGACCUGAGAGGGUGAUCGGCCAAACUGGGACUGAGACACGGCCCAGACUCCUACGGGAGGCAGCAGUAGGGAAUCUUCGGCAAUGGACGAAAGUCUGACCGAGCAACGCCGCGUGAGUGAAGAAGGUUUUCGGAUCGUAAAGCUCUGUUGUAAGAGAAGAACGAGUGUGAGAGUGGAAAGUUCACACUGUGACGGUAUCUUACCAGAAAGGGACGGCUAACUACGUG